rnacentral:rRNA from 1 species
AUUGAACGCUGGCGGCAGGCCUAACACAUGCAAGUCGAACGAGUGGCGGACGGGUGUGUAGUGUCUGGGACACUGCCUGAUGGAGGGGGAUAACUACUGGAAACGGUAGCUAAUACCGCAUACCAUCGGAUGUGCCCAGAUGGGAUUAGCUAGUGGGAGGGGGAAAGGCUCACCUAGGCGACGAUCCCUAGCUGGUCUGAGAGGAUGACCGGCCAAACUGGAACUGAGACAGGGUCCAGACGCCUACGGGAGGCAGCAGUGGGGAAUAUUGCACAAUGGGCGCAAGCCUGAUGCAGCCAUGCCGCGUGUAUGAAGAAGGCCUUCGGGUUGUAAAGUACUUUCAGCGGGGAGGCGUUACCCGCAGAAGAAGCACCGGCUAACUCCGUGCCAGCCGCCGCGGUAAUAC